UACGGGAGGCAGCAGUAGGGAAUCUUCCGCAAUGGACGAAAGUCUGACGGAGCAACGCCGCGUGAGUGAUGAAGGCUUUCGGGUCGUAAAACUCUGUUGUUAGGGAAGAACAAGUGCUAGUUGAAUAAGCUGGCACCUUGACGGUACCUAACCAGAAAGCCACGGCUAACUACGUGCCAGCAGCCGCGGUAAUACGUAGGUGGCAAGCGUUAUCCGGAAUUAUUGGGCGUAAAGCGCGCGCAGGUGGUUUCUUAAGUCUGAUGUGAAAGCCCAC
rnacentral:rRNA from 1 species